GCUUUUUCUCCUAUGUCUGUUGGCAGCAUAAAUGUGUUCUUUGGGGGAGUAUCUGUUCAUAUCCUUCACCCACUUUUUGAUGGGGUUGUUUUUUUUUUCUUGUAAAUUUAAGUUCCUCGUAGAUUCUGGAUAUAGCCCUUUGUCAGAUGGAUAGAUUGCAAAAAUUUUCUCCCAUUUUGUAGGUUGCCUGUUCACUCUGAUAAUAGUUUUUUGUUUUUUUUUUCUGUGCAGAAGCUCUUUUGUUUGGUUAGAUCCCAUUU
rnacentral:lncRNA from 10 species